AAAAUAAUAAUUGUGAAGCCAUUUUUCAAGAAAAGCAUAAUGAAACACAUUGUUUUCUCAAUUGCAAGGCAUUAACGGCAUUUAUAAGUUCAUUCCAGUGGCGUACGCAGAAUUUUUUCAAGGGGAGUGUUCAUGAUUUUCUGAAACUACUAAAAGAAAUUCGACUGAACGAAUACUUUGUAUGGGUCGUUGGUGGCAUAGAAGUUGUUUGCGGUGCACAAAAUGUAACAAGGUAUUGGAGCCUACUCGCUUGAUUUGUAAGGAAGGGAAAGUGUAUUGUCCUGUGCCAUGCUAUAACAACUUGUUUUUUACCAAAGGUUACAGACGCGUCAGAUACUACUGAAAAGAGGGACUUUGAAUGUGAAUGAAAAAGUUAAAAAGCUUUCUAAAAAAUGUUGAAAUAUAUUUCUACACAAAAAAUUUAAUAAGACAUUUUUUCCCCAGAAAAUCACAGCUUCGAAAUAUUUUGUUAAAAAAUAUUUUAGUGGAAAGUACGAAG